UGCAGUUGGAUUAUGCGGUGAAGAUCUUUUUUUGUUCUUCAAUGAUUUCAUCUGAUCUUUUAUUUGCUUUUCUAUCUGCACUCGCAUUUGCUCUUGCAUUUGCUCUUGCAUUUGCUCUAUGUCUUGUUUCAUUUUGACCCGGUUUUGCUCUAAUAUUUGUUCAACCUCCUCUAAAGAAAACAUAGUUUGAGAAGGUCCUCCAGGAUGAGCUGAUGUGCAUGAGAAAGAGGUAGUUGGAGUUCCAAAUUUUGCAAUAUCAGAAGAUCCAAAAUCAUAAACCCUCCCUUUACUACUUCCAGAAAUUUCCAUCCACUUAUUCAAAUCAAAAGCAGACUGACUAUCACAAUUGUCAUUCACAUUUUCAGNN
rnacentral:lncRNA from 1 species